AUAACAACAAAUCACUAUUAAUAACCCCGAAAACACACUAAAUUUAUUUACUAAACCAUUCUCCCCCCUUAGUAUGGGCGACAGAAAAGGAACUAGCGGAGCAAUAGAGAAAGUACCGCAAGGGAAAG
rnacentral:rRNA from 1 species